rnacentral:rRNA from 1 species
UUUAUCGGAGAGUUUGAUCCUGGCUCAGGACGAACGCUGGCGGCGUGCCUAAUACAUGCAAGUCGAGCGGACAGAUGGGAGCUUGCUCCCUGAUGUCAGCGGCGGACGGGUGAGUAACACGUGGGUAACCUGCCUGUAAGACUGGGAUAACUCCGGGAAACCGGGGCUAAUACCGGAUGCUUGAUUGAACCGCAUGGUUCAAUUAUAAAAGGUGGCUUUCAGCUACCACUUACAGAUGGACCCGCGGCGCAUUAGCUAGUUGGUGAGGUAACGGCUCACCAAGGCAACGAUGCGUAGCCGACCUGAGAGGGUGAUCGGCCACACUGGGACUGAGACACGGCCCAGAC